rnacentral:rRNA from 1 species
UACGUAGGGUGCGAGCGUUGUCCGGAAUUAUUGGGCGUAAAGAGCUCGUAGGCGGUCUGUCGCGUCCAUCGUGAAAACUUGGGGCUUAACCCUGAGCUUGCGGUCGAUACGGGCAUGACUGGAGUUCGGCAGGGGAGACUGGAAUUCCUGGUGUAGCGGUGAAAUGCGCAGAUAUCAGGAGGAACACCGGUGGCGAAGGCGGAUCUCUGGGCCUUGCCUGACGCUGAGGCGCGAAAGCUAGGGGAGCGAACAGG